rnacentral:rRNA from 1 species
AGAGUUUGAUCCUGGCUCAGGACGAACGCUGGCGGCAUGCCUAAUACAUGCAAGUCGAACGCUGAAGCACUCUGCUUGCAGAGUGCGGAUGAGUGGCGAACGGGUGAGUAACACGUGGGAAAUCUGCCUAGGAGUGGGGGAUAACAUUCGGAAACGGAUGCUAAUACCGCAUAUCUUUUUGAACCGCAUGGUUCUUAAACGAAAGACGGCUUCGGCUGUCGCUCUUAAAUGAUCCCGCGGCGUAUUAGUUAGUUGGGGGGGUAAAGGCCUACCAAGACCAUGAUACGUAGCCGACCUGAGAGGGUGAUCGGCCACACUGGGACUGAGACACGGCCCAGACUCCUACGGGAGGCAGCAGUAGGGAAUCUUCCACAAUGGGUGAAAACCUGAUGGAGCAAUGCCGCGCGAAUGAAGAAGGUCUUCGGAUCGUAAAGUUCUGUUAUUAAAGAAGAACAAGUCAAGGAGUAAUUGUCUUGACUUUGACGGAACCUAACCAAAAAGUCACGGCUAAACUACGUGCCAGCACCCGCGGUAAUACGUAGGUGACAAGCCGUUGUCCGGAAUUAUUGGGCGUAAAGGGAGCGCAGGGGGUUGAAAUAGUCUGAAUGUGAAACCCCCGGCUUAACCGUGGAAGGUCAUUGGAAACUGUCCAACUUGAAUGCAGAAGAGGUAAGUGGAAUUUCCUUGUGGAGCGGGGAAAAUGGCUAAAAAUAUGGAAGGGAAACACCCGGGGCGAAGGGCAAACUUUUGGGUCU